rnacentral:rRNA from 1 species
AAUCGGGGCGGUUAUAACGCGUUGGGCUACCCUUUUCUACGGAAUAGCCUCGGGAAACGAGAUAAUACCGUAUAAGCCCUUCGGGGGAAAGAUUUAUCGGGAAAGGAUUGGCCCGCGUUAGAUUAGAUAGUUGGUGGGGUAAUGGCCUACCAAGUCUACGAUCUAUAGCUGGUUUUAGAGGAUGAUCAGCAACACUGGGACUGAGACACGGCCCAGACUCCUACGGGAGGCAGCAGUGGGGAAUCUUAGACAAUGGGCGCAAGCCUGAUCUAGCCAUGCCGCGUGUGUGAUGAAGGUCUUAGGAUCGUAAAGCACUUUCGCCAGGGAUGAUAAUGACAGUACCUGGUAAAGAAACCCCGGCUAACUCCGUGCCAGCAGCCGCGGUAAUACGGAGGGGGUUAGCGUUGUUCGGAAUUACUGGGCGUAAAGCGUACGUAGGCGGAUUGGAAAGUUGGGGGUGAAAUCCCAGGGCUCAACCCUGGAACUGCCUCCAAAACUAUCAGUCUAGAGUUCGAGAGAGGUGAGUGGAAUCCAAGUGUAGAGGUGAAAUUCGUAGAUAUUUGGAGGAACAUCAGUGGCGAAGGCGGCUCACUGGCUCGAUACUGACGCUGAGGUACGAAAGUGUGGGGAGCAAACAGGAGUUAGAUACCCUGGUUGUCCACACCGUAAACGAUGAAUGCCAGUCGUCGGGCAGUAUACUGUUUCGGUGACACACCCUAACAUAUGCAUUCCGCCUGGGGAGUACGGUCGCAAGAUAAAACUCAUAGAGAAUUGAG